rnacentral:rRNA from 1 species
UGGGGAAUAUUGGACAAUGGGGGAAACCCUGAUCCAGCGAUGCCGCGUGAGUGAUGAAGGCCCUCGGGUUGUAAAGCUCUUUUGGUAGGGACGAUAAUGACGGUACCUACAGAAUAAGCACCGGCUAACUCUGUGCCAGCAGCCGCGGUAAGACAGAGGGUGCUAGCGUUGUUCGGAAUUACUGGGCGUAAAGGGCGUGUAGGCGGUUACGUAAGUCAGAUGUUAAAGAUCCAGGCUUAACUUGGGGAGUGCGUUUGAUACUGCGUGACUAGAGAACAGGAGAGGAGAGCGGAAUUUCCGGUGUAGAGGUGAAAUUCGUAGAUAUCGGAAGGAACACCAGUUGCGAAGGCAGCUCUCUGGCCUGUUUCUGACGCUGAGGCGCUAAAGCGUGGGGAGCAAACAGG